UGAAUCGAUGAUGACUACUGGUGGAUUAUGAGUUGUGUCUGAUAAAUACAAGUCUAGACCUCUGAGGUCUAA
ensembl:snoRNA